GUGCCAGCAGCCGCGGUAAUACGGAGGGUGCAAGCGUUAUCCGGAUUUACUGGGUUUAAAGGGUGUGUAGGCGGGUCUUUAAGUCAGUGGUGAAAUCUCCGAGCUCAACUUGGAAACUGCCAUUGAUACUAUUGAUCUUGAAUUCUGUUGAGGUUGGCGGAAUAAGUCAUGUAGCGGUGAAAUGCAUAGAUAUGACUUAGAACACCGAUUGCGAAGGCAGCUAACUAAGCAGAUAUUGACGCUGAGGCACGAAAGCGUGGGGAUCAAACAGGAUUAGAUACCCUUGUAGUCC
rnacentral:rRNA from 1 species